rnacentral:other from 1 species
GAUCAUCGAGGAUGCACGUUGACUUUAGCGAAAUUCAACCGACAAAUAACAUCCGGGAGAACAUAUUUUUUAUUCCUAUGAAACGCCACUUUAGGUGGACUUCAGAAGAAUAAAAUGUGUCACCCACUUUGAGUGAGUGGCGGGUGUGAAUUUUGCAGUUGACGACAUCUUGGAUAAAAA